rnacentral:tRNA from 1 species
GGUAGGAUGGCCGAGGGAUAGGCGGCAGGUUGUAGCCCUGCACAGGCGGAGUUAAACCCGCUCCUACCA